CCCUUAGAUGUUCUGGGCCGCACGCGCGCUACACUGAUUCAUGCAACAAGUUUUGUCCUUGGCUGAUAGGCCUGGGUAAUCUUUGAACGUGAAUCGUGAUGGGGAUAGAUGAUUGCAAUUAUUCAUCUUCAACGAGGAAUUCCUAGUAAACGCAAGUCAUCAGCUUGCAUUGAUUACGUCCCUGCCCUUUGUACACACCGCCCGUCGCACUUACCGAUUGAAUGGUCCGGUGAAAUCUUCGGAUCUGAGAGAUGUCUGAUUAAUUUCGGACGCCUUUUGGAAAAGUUGUUUAAACCUUACCAUUUAGAGGAAGGUGAAGUCGUAACA
rnacentral:rRNA from 1 species